UCAUUUAUAUAGUUAAAAUGACUUUGAAUGAGUACAAUAAGGUCAUGUGAUUGAUCAAAUUGACCAAGCCCAUGUUGAGAGAGUUAACCAGAGAAUACAGAAUUA